GCCUCUGAGGAUGAUCGAACUAAAACUUUCAACCUUCUGAGAUAUUACAUGUGGAAAAUUUUUGGAGACCUGAACUGAGGAGGC